AAAAACCUUAUAAAUACCGUUUAUAACCUUUUAAAACCUUAUAAAUAUUUGGAUUUAGUCUUCCAGUAGUAAUGAUGAUCUUGAUGUUCCUUAUCAACCAUAUAAAAGUUUAUAAUAUUUCAUAUUUGAAAAGGGGUAUUUUUGAAAAUGGAUAGAAAAGAGGGGUAUUUUUUAAAAGGGGUACACCAAAAGGGGUAUUUCUCAAAAA
rnacentral:lncRNA from 1 species